UGCCUUUUGUGUUGCUCAUUCAUCUUUCCAUGUAGUGAAUGUGGUGUCUCUUAAGGCAUACAUAAAUUCCACAUGUGGCCUAAUAAAGAUUAAAAUGGUUUUCUUUAGCUGGCUGCUUAUGGAACAGUU